CCUACGGGAGGCAGCAGUGAGGAAUAUUGGUCAAUGGGCGAGAGCCUGAACCAGCCAAGUCGCGUGAAGGAUGACGGCCCUAUGGGUUGUAAACUUCUUUUGCAGGGGAAUAAAAAUAUUCACGUGUGGGUAGUUGUAUGUACCCUGCGAAUAAGCAUCGGCUAACUCCGUGCCAGCAGCCGCGGUAAUACGGAGGAUGCGAGCGUUAUCCGGAUUUAUUGGGUUUAAAGGGUGCGUAGGUGGGCUAUUAAGUCAGUGGUGAAAGUUUGUCGCUCAACGAUAAAAUUGCCGUUGAAACUGGUGGUCUUGAGUAUGGAUGAAGUAGGUGGAAUGCGUGGUGUAGCGGUGAAAUGCAUAGAGAUCACGCAGAACUCCGAUUGCGAAGGCAGCUUACUAAGGCAUAACUGACACUGAAGCACGAAAGCGUGGGUAUCAAACAGGAUUAGAUACCCUGGUAGUCCACGCAGUAAACGAUGAUUACUAGGAGUUUGCGAUAUAGUGUAAGCUCUACAGCGAAAGCGUUAAGUAAUCCACCUGGGGAGAACGCCGGCAACGGUGAAACUCAAAGGAAUUGACGGCUGCUGCCUCCCGUAGG
rnacentral:rRNA from 1 species